rnacentral:rRNA from 1 species
UACAGAGGGGGCAAGCGUUGUUCGGAAUUACUGGGCGUAAAGGGCGCGUAGGCGGCCUGCUAAGUCGAACGUGAAAUCCCCGAGCUCAACUCGGGAACUGCGUCCGAUACUGACAGGCUUGAAUCCGGGAGAGGGAUGCGGAAUUCCAGGUGUAGCGGUGAAAUGCGUAGAUAUCAUUUGGAACGCCAAUGGUGAAAACAGGUAGCUGGGGCUGUGCUAACGCUGAGACACGAAAGCCAGGGGAGCGAACGGG